rnacentral:rRNA from 1 species
CCUACGGGCGGCAGCAGUGGGGAAUAUUGCGCAAUGGGCGAAAGCCUGACGCAGCGACGCCGCGUGAGGGAUGAAGGUCUUCGGAUCGUAAACCUCUGUCAGCAGGGAAGAACGGUCACUGUGCUAAUCAGCAGUGAAUUGACGGUAUCUGUAAAGGAAGCACCGGCUAACUCCGUGCCAGCAGCCGCGGUAAUACGGAGGGUGCGAGCGUUAAUCGGAAUUACUGGGCGGAAAGCGAUCGUAGGCGGUAUGUCAAGUCAGGGGUGAAAUCCCCGGGCUCAACGUGGGAACUGCCUUUGAAACUGGCAGACUGGAGUGUGUUAGAGGUAGGUGGAAUUCCAGGUGUAGGAGUGAAAUGCGUAGAUAUCAGGAAGAACAUCGAUGGCGAAGGCGACUAUCUAACACAUGACCGACGCUGAGGAGCGAAAGCGUGGGUAGCAAACAGGAUUAGAUACCCUAGUAGUC